AGCGAACGCUGGCGGCAGGCCUAAUACAUGCAAGUCGAACGGCCCUUCGGGGUUAGUGGCGGACGGGUGAGUACCACGUGGGAACUUGCCUUUAGGUUCGGAAUAACUCAGGGAAACUUGUGCUAAUACCGAAUGUGCCUUUCGGGGGACAGAUUUAUCGCCUUUAGAGCGGCCCGCGUCUGAUUAGCUAGUGGGUUAAGGUAAUGGCUGACCAAGGCGACGAUCAGUAGCUGGUCUGAGAGGAUGAGCAGCCACAUUGGGACUGAGACACGGCCCAAACUUCUACGGGAGGAAGCAGUGGGGAAUCUUGCGGAAUGGGCCAAAGCCUGACGCAGCCAUGCCGCGUGAAUGAUGAAGGUCUUAGGAUUGUAAAAUUCUUUCACCGGGGACGAUAAGGACGGUAACCGGGGAAGAAGCCCCGGCUACCUUCGUGCCAGCCGCCGCCGUAA
rnacentral:rRNA from 1 species